CGCUUGAAAGUGAAACCUGCAAAAAGAACAUGACAGAGCCUAUAUAUCUAAAAGCAAUUUGCCGACAGUAAACAAAAGAACUCUCUCGAACAGCACCCACAGCCACAUAAUUCAACAUGAGCGAAGCUAAGAAGCUGCACGUUGCUCUGUUUCCAUGGCUAGCAUUCGGUCAUCUAAUCCCAUUCCUUGAGCUCGCCAAGCGCAUAGCUAAGAGGGGUCACAAAAUCUCUUUCAUAUCCACCCCCAGAAACAUCCAACGUCUACCAAAAAUUCCUCCAAAUUUGGAACCUCUUCUCAAUUUAGUGAGCCUCCCUUUGCCGACAGUUGAACAUCUCCCACAGAAUGCGGAGGCCACCACUGAUAUACCUUCCCGGAAAACUGCAUACCUCAAGAUUGCCUAUGACGGUCUCCAAGUCCCUCUGCUUCAGUUUUUACAAACUUCUAAUCCAGAUUGGAUCAUCUAUGACUUUGCUCCCUAUUGGUUACCUCCCAUGGUGGCUGAUCUUGGGAUUUCUGCUGUCUUCUUCAGUAUGUACGGUGCCUGGACUCUAUCUUUCUUAGGAUCAUCUCCCUCAGCCCUGAUUAAAGGUGAGGAUCCACGAACUCGACCAGAGGAUUUCACUGUGCCUCCUCAGUGGAUCCCUUUUCCUUCCAAGGUCGCUUUUCGGCUCCAUGAGGCAAAGCGAGCUUUUGCUGAUCACUUUGAGGUAAACACUUCGGGUUUCUCCGAUAUGUUUCGUUUAGGUUCAGUAAUGCAAGGUUGUGACGCUAUAGUUAUACGGAACUGCAAUGAGCUAGAACGUAAUUUUUCGAUGCUUGUCGAGGAGUUUUCCGGCAAGCCUGUUCUACCACUAGGUUUAUUGCCGCCUGUAGAUCUUGAUGGCAGCAGUGACGAAGAUGUUACAUGGCUUACAAUCAAAGAGUGGCUAGACAAGCAAAGCAAAGGUUCUGUGGUUUACAUAGCAUUUGGAAGCGAGUCGGAACUGAGUCAACCCGAGUUACACGAAUUGGCACAUGGAUUGGAGUUAUCAGGGUUUCCAUUCUUUUGGGCUCUAAGGAAGCGAGAUAACUCGGUGAAAUUACCAGACGGGUUUGAGGAGCGAGUGAAGGGACGUGGAAUGGUGUGGGGAAGUUGGGUACCUCAACUCAAAAUUAUGGGUCAUGAAUCGGUGGGAGGCUUCUUAACUCACUGUGGUUAUGCUUCAAUGUUAGAGGCACUUUACUUUGAACGUCCUUUGAUCAUGCUGCCAAUCUCCAUAGACCAAGGAUUAAUUGCAAGAUUUUUUAGUGAGAAGAUGGUGGGUAUAGAGGUGAAACGAGAUGGAGAAGAUGGGUCUCUUAGAAGGGACUCGAUAGCUGCCUCGCUUAGGUUAGUUAUGGUUGAAAAGGAAGGAGAAGUCUAUAGAAACGGAGCAAAGGAGAUGAAGAAACUAAUUGCAGAUAAAGAUGUUCACGAUCGAUACAUAGACCAUUUUGUUGAGUUUAUGCAAAAUCACCGAGUUGCUUGAACGAGUCAACUCAACUAUGUGAUUUCGAACCGUAAGCGCCAUAAUGGUAGAGCAUGUGCUGAAUGUUGAUUGUUUAAUGCGCCUCGUCCUGCUGAAAGGUUUGCAGGUACGGGAUAGACCAGGAGGCCAUCUAGAGUAAAGUGAUGUCUUGUAAUAGCUAGUUGUGGACAUGAGAAUAUUGUAAUGUAAUGUAUCGAAUAGUUAUGAAAUGUUAAGGAUUGUAUUGAGGAUAGAAUUGUGCUUGAUUCUAGUAUGUUAGUUAAUCCCUUUAUACAUGGUCUUUAAUAAUGUUUUAUUAUUGUUUAUGUAAACCAAACUUAAGUUAUGAUAUGUUACCCCAUUGGAGCAAUUGAUGAG